rnacentral:rRNA from 1 species
CUAGUGGCGGACGGGUGAGUAACGCGUGGGAAUCUGCCUCUGUACUGGGGGAUAACAGUGGGAAACUACUGCUAAUACCGCAUAAGAUCUUCGGAUGAAAGGUGCAACUGCACCGGUAGGANGAGAGCCCGCGUCCCAUUAGCUAGUUGGUGAGGUAAAGGCUCACCAACCAGGCGACGAUGGGUAGCCGGCCUGAGAGGGUGAACGGCCACACAUGGGGGACUGAGACACGGCCCAGACUCCUACGGGAGGCAGCAGUAGGGAAUCUUCCGCAAUGGGCGCAAGCCUGACGUGGAGCGACGCCGCGUGAAGUGAUGAAGGCCUUCGGGUCGUAAAGCUCUGUU